rnacentral:rRNA from 1 species
UACGGAGGGUGCGAGCGUUGUCCGGAAUCACUGGGCGUAAAGGGCGCGUAGGCGGCUCGGUAAGUUGGGUGUGAAAGCCCCGGGCUCAGCCCGGGAAGGGCACUCGAAACUGCCGAGCUGGAGUGCCGGAGGGGAGAGUGGAAUUCCUGGUGUAGCGGUGAAAUGCGUAGAUAUCAGGAGGAAUACCGGUGGCGAAAGCGACUCUCUGGACGGCAACUGACGCUGAGGCACGAAAGCGUGGGGAGCAAACAGG